rnacentral:lncRNA from 1 species
AUAUCUUCCUCCAGCUUGUCGAUGAUCAUAGCGAAAGCCUUAAAGAUGGCAUUGGUGGGGCCGGUCAGAGUGAUGAUUCUCUCCGGACAAUUCCCCUCCGAGAUGUUGAUCCGCGCGCCACUCUCCUCGCGGAUCCUCUUAACCGACUCCCCUUUCUUCCCAAUGAUGCUUCCUACUUCCUUUCCGUGCAUAAGAAGCCGAAUGAGGAAGACAAACAUAAAGAUGAAGUGCUUAAUUCAAGGUCACACAAUGUCGGGGAUGGACCUCCAGAUUUCCUUACUGACCUGCAUUAUCUUGUGGAUACCUGAGUGAAUUCCACACCACCCAUUUUAUAGAUGAAACCACUGAGACAUGGAGCAAUUGACUGAGUAGUCACUGCCCCACCCCUGCCUGGAGCCUCACACAUGACUCGCCUCCUCUCAGUGACCACAGGUUGGUUGAGGGGUUUAACAAGGCUAAGAAGGUGAGACGUGGUCUUGUAACACAGUGGUUAAGAAUGUGACUUUGGAGCCAGCCUGCUAGGGGCUGAAUUCUGACUCAGCCAUUUACUAACUGUGUGACCUUAGGUCACAGAAUUUUCCACACUCCUUGACAGAGGUGCUUAACCCUUAUCCAUCAGCAUUCUCAGACAGCACCU